GACGAACGCUGGCGGCGUGCCUAAUACAUGCAAGUAGAAGCUAGUUGCGAACGGGUGAGUAACGCGUAGGAACCUGCCUCAUAGCGGGGGAUAACAAUUGGAAAAGAUAGCUAAUACCGCAUACCGUGCGAUGGACCUGCGUUGUCUUAGCUAGUUGGUGGGGUAACGGCUAACAAAGGCGACGAUCCGUAGUUGGUUUGAAAGGACAACCAGCCACACUGGAACUGUGACACGGCCCAGACUCCUACGUGAGGCGGCAGUUGGGAAUUUUGGACAAUUGGGGACACCCGUAUCCAGCCAUCCCGCGUGUGCGAUGAAGGCCUUCGGGUUGUAAAGCACUUUUGGCAGGAAAGCGGUACCUGCAGAAUAAGCACCGGCUAACUACGUGCCAGCAGCCGCGGUAAUUC
rnacentral:rRNA from 1 species